GCGCCUGUAGCUCAGCUGGAUAGAGCGUUGGACUCCGACUCCAAAGGUCGCAGAUUCGAAUUCUGUCAGGCGUACCA
rnacentral:tRNA from 1 species